CGGUGAAUACGUUCCCGGGCCUUGUACACACCGCCCGUCAAGCCAUGGAAGCUGGGGGUGCCUGAAGUGCGUAACCGCAAGGAGCGUCCUAGGGUAAAACCGGUAACUGGGCUA
rnacentral:rRNA from 1 species